ensembl:lncRNA
CUGGAAAAUAAAUGAAAUGCAUAAUCUUUAUUAAAUGCUGUUAUAAGCAAACUAAGGAUGUUAGUAUGCUAUUGCUUUGUUACUUUAGAUAUAUUGAAAAGUGGCUUGAUCUCCUUACAGGAGCCUCCUGAUACUUGUUCAAUUUGUCAAGCAGGUAACCUGGAAAAGAUACCCCUGUCUGAAUCAGUCCCAGUGCUUGAGAAGACAGAUUUGGGAACUCAUAUUAUGUCAUUCAUCUACCUUGACUUCACAAGAAUGGACACUUCUCAGUAAAGGAGAACAGAUACUUUCUGUCUAAGCCAGCAGAUAGAAGCAGCACAGAUGUCACCCUCCCUAAUUUAUCGAUUGUAAUCCUUCAGCGAGGCCAGGAUAGCUGAAGCAAUAGCUGUGGAGGCCUUACCACCAACAAAACCCUGCCCCACACCUACGGAGAAAACUAGACCCCGACUUACAGGAUUUGUGGUAAACAGCCAUAAACUGUUCCAUCUGUGCUGGUGCAGGUGCUGGGAUCUCCAGUAGACAGGUGAGAUUUCAAACAUGAAGAUUCAG